UGGGGAAUCUUGCGCAAUGCGCGAAAGCGUGACGCAGCAACGCCGUCGUGGGGGAAGAAGGCCUUCGGGUUGUAAACCCCUUUCAGGAGGGACGAAGGUAGGGCGGUGAACAGCCGUCCCUACUGACGGUACCUCCAGAAGAAGCCCCGGCUAACUACGUGCCAGCUAGCCGCGGUAAUACGUAGGGGGCAAGCGUUGUCCGGAAUCAUUGGGCGUAAAGCGCGCGUAGGCGGCCCGGUAAGUCCGCUGUAAAAGUCCAGGGCUCAACCCUGGAAAGCCGGUGGAUACUGUCGGGCUAGAGUCCGGAAGAGGCGAGUGGAAUUCCUGGUGUAGCGGUGGAAUGCGCAGAUAUCAGGAGGAACUACCGAUGGCGAAGGCAGGCUCGCUGGGACGGUACUGACGCUGAGGCGCGAAAGCGUGGGGAGCGAACAGGAUUAGAUACCCUGGUAGUCCACGCCGUAAACGAUGGGCACUAGGUGUGGGAGGUGUCGACUCCUCCCGUGCCGUCGCUAACGCAUUAAG
rnacentral:rRNA from 1 species